UACGUAGGGUGCGAGCGUUAAUCGGAAUUACUGGGCGUAAAGCGUGCGCAGGCGGUUUUGUAAGCCAGAUGUGAAAUCCCCGGGCUUAACCUGGGAAUGGCAUUUGGGACUGCAAGGCUGGAGUGCGGCAGAGGAGACUGGAAUUCCUGGUGUAGCAGUGAAAUGCGUAGAUAUCAGGAGGAAUACCGAUGGCGAAGGCAGGUCUCUGGGCUGACACUGACGCUCAUGCACGAAAGGCGUGGGGAGCAAACGAGG
rnacentral:rRNA from 1 species